rnacentral:rRNA from 1 species
GACGAACGCUGGCGGCGUGCUUAACACAUGCAAGUCGAGCGGUAAGGCCCUUUCGGGGGUACACGAGCGGCGAACGGGUGAGUAACACGUGGGUGACCUGCCCUCAGCUCUGGGAUAAGCCUGGGAAACCGGGUCUAAUACCGGAUAUGACUCCAUGACGCAUGUUGUGGGGUGGAAAGCCUUGUGCGGCUGAGGAUGGGCCCGCGGCCUAUCAGCUUGUUGGUGGGGUGAUGGCCUACCAAGGCGACGACGGGUAGCCGGCCUGAGAGGGCGACCGGGCCACACUGGGACUGAGACACGGCCCAGACUCCUACGGGAGGCAGCAGUGGGGAAUCUUGCGCAAUGGGCGAAAGCCUGACGCAGCGACGCCGCGUGAGGGAUGACGGCCUC